CGGGGAGGGGGGCGCGGGCAGCCCGGCUCCCGCCCCACGCGUGACUCAGCACGGCCCCACGGGGCUGCCGGGGGGUGGCACAGCCCGCGGGGCAGCUUCUCCUGUUGCCAGAGGAGACAAACCGCUAAUGCUCGCAAUAAAACGAAAUGCCCAGGGACGAGCAGGGUUUGGUGCGCUUCCUCCCCAGCCUGGGUAAGCUGCAGAGCACGUCCAGCUCCGGAUCCCGCCCGGCUGGGAGAGCUCUGCUCUCCCCAGGACUCAGUCGGGAAUUGGCGGUGAGGAAGGCAGAGUUUGACUGGCUGCAUAUAUAAAAUAUAAAUUAAAAAAAAUUAAAUGUAUGACCA